rnacentral:rRNA from 1 species
UACGUGGGGUGCAAGCGUUGUUCGGAAUUACUGGGCGUAAAGAGUGUGUAGGCGGCUUUGUUAGUCUGGUGUGAAAUCUCCCGGCUUAACUGGGAGGGUGCGCUAGAAACUGCAGAGCUAGAGUAUCGGAGAGGAAAGCGGAAUUCCUGGUGUAGCGGUGAAAUGCGUAGAUAUCAGGAGGAACACCGGUGGUGUAGACGGCUUUCUGGACGAUCACUGACGCUGAGACACGAAAGCGUGGGGAGCAAACAGG